AGAUUCCUACGGGAGGCAGCAGUGAGGAAUUUUCCGCAAUGGGCGAGAGCCUGACGGAGCAAUGCCGCGUGGAGGAUGAAGGCCCGUGGGUUGUAAACUCCUUUUCUCAGAGAAGAAGCCCUGACGGUAUCUGAGGAAUAAGCAUCGGCUAACUCCGUGCCAGCAGCCGCGGUAAUACGGAGGAUGCAAGCGUUAUCCGGAAUCAUUGGGCGUAAAGGGUCCUGAGGUGGCCUGCCCAGUCUACUGUGAAAGAUCAGGGCUCAACCCUGAAGAUGCGGUAGAAACUAGCAGGCUAGGAUACGGUAGGGGCAGGGGGAAUUCCCGGUGUAGCGGUGAAAUGCAUAGAUAUCGGGAGGAACACCAAAGGCGAAGGCACCCUGCUGGGCCGAUAUUGACACUGACAGACGAGAGCUAGGGGAGCGAAUGGGAUUAGAUACCCCAGUAGUCCUAGCCGUAAACGAUGGAUACUAAGUGCUGAACGACUCAAAACGGGCAGUGCUGCAGCUAACGCGCUAAGUAUCCCGCCUGGGGAGUAUGCCCGCAAGGGUGAAACUCAAAUGAAUUGACGGGG
rnacentral:rRNA from 1 species